GCUGGGCAUGGUGGCGGGCGCCUGUAAUCUCAGAUACUUGGGAGGCCGAGGCAGGAGAAUCCCUUGAACUCGGGAGACAGAGGUUGCAGUGAGCCGAGAUCAUGCCACUGCACUCCAGCCUGGGUGACUGUGAGACUGUCUCAAAAAAAAAAAAAAACCCAAAAAACAUAUAAAUACCCAAUUUAUUUUUUAUUUUUUGAGAUGGAGUUUUGCUAUUGUUGCCCAGGCUGGAAUACAAUGGCAUGAACUCGGCUCACUGCCACCUCUGCCUCCCAGGUUCAAGUGAUUCUCCUGCCUCAG
rnacentral:sRNA from 1 species